GACGAACGCUGGCGGCGUGCCUAACACAUGCAAGUCGAGCGACGAACCAGGGCUUUCCCGGGGUCCAAGCAGCGCACAGGUGAGUAACACGCGUGUAACCUACCCCGAUCACCUCGAGAACCCCAGGAAACACUGGCUAUUAUCGCGGGUACGCCCUGGACUUCGGUGGAGUGCUGGAAGGAAUCUCCGUGCGCCGUAACCGCGCGGGCCCUCAGCUUGUUGGUUGGGUAGUGGCUUACCAAGGCGGCGACGGGUAGCCGGUCUGCGAGGGUGUUCGGACACACUGGGACUGAGACACGGCCCAGACUCCUACGGGAGGCAGCAGUGGGGAAUCUUGCGCAAUGCGCGAAAGCGUGACGCAGCACGGCCGCGUGAGGGAAGAAGGCCUUCGGGUUGUAAACCGCUUUCAGGAGGGACGAAGGUUCGGCGGUGAAUAGCCGUCCGGACUGACGGUACCUCCACAAGAAGCCCCGGCUAACUACGUG
rnacentral:rRNA from 1 species